AUUGAACGCUGGCGGCAUGCUUUACACAUGCAAGUCGAACGGUAACAGGCCGCAAGGUGCUGACAAGUGGCGAACGGGUGAGUAAUGCAUCGGAACGUGCCCAGUCGUGGGGGAUAACGCAGCGAAAGCUGUGCUAAUACCGCAUACGAUCUAUGGAUGAAAGCGGGGGACCGUAAGGCUUCGCGCGAUUGGAGCGGCCGAUGUCGGAUUAGGUAGUUGGUGGGGUAAAGGCCCACCAAGCCAACGAUCUGUAGCUGGUCUGAGAGGACGACAAGCCACACUGGGACUGAGACACGGCCCAGACUCCUACGGGAGGCAGCAGUGGGGAAUUUUGGACAAUGGGCGCAAGCCUGAUCCAGCAAUGCCGCGUGCAGGAAGAAGGCCUUCGGGUUGUAAACUGCUUUUGUACGGAACGAAACGGUCUGGGUUAAUACCUCGGGCUAAUGACGGUACCGUAAGAAUAAGCACCGGCUAACUACGUGCCAGCCGCCGCCGUAAGAC
rnacentral:rRNA from 1 species